rnacentral:lncRNA from 1 species
AGAGGGGCUGGCAGCCGAAGGAGGAGCGGCCGCGUUCUGCUGAGUUGCCGAGGGAUCAGGUUUGCUGGAGGAGGAGCGCUCAUGGCACUGCAUCUCCGAACACCAUGGAGGUGGUUUACUGUUGGAUCUGAGCAGCCACUCACUGGGCAGCACCUUAGCUGCUGUAUUCACCGUGCUGAAGGAGGCUGUGGGCAUCCUGCCCAGAGAAGCAGGAUGUCCAGGAUCGUGCCUACCUUCAACUAGGAUGUGGUGGGAACUUGAAACCUGAGACUUCCAGAAGAUGCUGGCCUCACACAGAAACCCCACAGGUCCUGCCAGCACUCGACCCUUGCUCUUUCUCCUGUAGCUUUGCCUUGGCUCAAGACCCGUCUGCACCAGUUCUCUGGUCUCUGGGAGCUCCUUUGGAGGCCUGGCUGUCCCUGUGCUCUGCAAGAGCAGACAAGAUGUGGGUCUUGCUGGAUUCCAACCAGGCCUGAACCCUCUGCAUGAAGGAGGAGACUGGAGUCUCUCCAUCCAAUUUAGGAAUUCUGUGAACAAA